rnacentral:tRNA from 1 species
GGGAAUGUGGCUUAGUGGUAGAGUGCUUGCCUAGCACGCAUGAACCCUGGGUUCCAUUCCUU